rnacentral:rRNA from 1 species
AGCGGCGGACGGCUGAGUAACACGUAGGAACGUACCCCAAAGUGAGGCAUAAGCAUCAGAAAUGGUGUCUAAUACCGCAUGUGAUCUUCGGAUUAAAGCUUCGGCGCUUUGGGAACGGCCUGCGCAUGAUUAGCUUGUUGGUGAGGUAAAAGCUCACCAAGGCGACGAUCAUUAGCUGGUCUGAGAGGAUGAUCAGCCAGACUGGGACUGAGAACGGCCCAGACUCCUACGGGAGGCAGCAGUAGGGAAUUUUCCACAAUGGGCGAAAGCCUGAUGGAGCAACGCCGCGUGCAGGAUGAAGGCUUUCGGGUCGUAAACUGCUUUUAUAUGUGACGAUUAUGACGGUAGCAUAUGAAUAAGGAUCGGCUAACUCCGUGCCAGCAGCCGCGGUCAUACGGAGGAUCCAAGCGUUAUCCGGAAUUACUGGGCGUAAAGAGUUGCGUAGGUGGCAUUGUAAGUUGGUAGUGAAAGCGUUCGGCUCAACCGGAUACACAUUAUCAAAACUGCAAAGCUAGAGGAUGAGAGAGGUUAUUGGAAUUCCUAGUGUAGGAGUGAAAUCCGUAGAUAUUAGGAGGAACACCGAUGGCGUAGGCAGAUAACUGGCUCAUUCCUGACACUAAGGCACGAAAGCGUGGGUAGCAAAC